AUGCUGAUGUAAUCGACGGGCGAAGGAAUCUGGUGAGAAUCCAGAACGGUCGCGCCACUGUGAAGUCAGACCCGACGUCCGUCGUCAACACCUGAAGCUGGGACGCGAAAUCCCGGGAAGGACC
rnacentral:sRNA from 2 species